rnacentral:rRNA from 1 species
AAUGAACGUUGGUGGCGUGGAUUAGGCAUGCAAGUCGUACGGUAAGCUUCAGCUUAUAGUGGCGAAAGGGAGGGUAACGCGUGGUGACAUGCCCUCGGGACCGGGAUAGCGGCGGGAAACUGCCGGUAAUACCGGAUAAUAUCUUUGGAUCAAAGGUGUGAUUCCGCCCGAGGAUUGGACCGCGUUCUAUUAGCUUGUUGGCGGGGUAAUGGCCCACCAAGGCGACGAUGGAUACCGGGUGUGAGAGCAUGGCCCGGCUCACUGGGACUGAGACGCUGCCCAGACACCUACGGGUGGCUGCAGUCGAGAAUCUUCGGCAAUGGGGGCAACCCUGACCGAGCGACGCCGCGUGCGGGACGAAGGCCUUCGGGUUGUAAACCGCUGUCAGUUGGGAGGAAGUGCCGGGGGGUUCUCCCCUCGGUUUGACCGAUCUUCAGAGGAAGGACGGGCUAAGUUCGUGCCAGCAGCCGCCGUAACAC